UACAGAGGUCUCAAGCGUUGUUCGGAUUCAUUGGGCGUAAAGGGUGCGUAGGUGGCAGGGUAAGUCGGAUGUGAAAUCCCGGGGCUCAACCUCGGAACUGCAUUCGAUACUGCUUUGCUGGAGUACUGGAGAGGAGAUUGGAAUUUACGGUGUAGCAGUGAAAUGCGUAGAUAUCGUAAGGAAGACCAGUGGCGAAGGCGGAUCUCUGGACAGUUACUGACACUGAGGCACGAAGGCCAGGGGAGCAA
rnacentral:rRNA from 1 species